rnacentral:rRNA from 1 species
UACGUAGGCAGCAAACGUUUGUUCGGAAUUACUGGGCGUAAAGAGUGUGUAGGCGGUUCUGUAAGUUUGGUGUGAAAUCUCCCGCUUAACUGGGAGGGUGCGCCGAAAACUGCAAGGCUUGAGUGCUGGAGAGGAUAGCGGAAUUCCUGGUGUAGCGGUGAAAUGCGUAGAUAUCAGGAGGAACACCGGCGGUGUAGACGGCUAUCUGGACAGCAACUGACGCUGAGACACGAAAGCGUGGGGAGCAAACAGG